rnacentral:lncRNA from 1 species
UCCAUUUAUUCAUUAGACAAGUAUUUUUUUAAACCCCUUCUAUGAAUGAGAUGUUGCAGGUACAGGGAAACCAAACUGAAAAUCUCAUCGUCUGCCCUCUGGAAUUUAUGUCCUGUAGGAGCUGAAUCUGAAACUGGGGCACCUCAUAGAGGGAUCCCUGAGCACUGGGAAACCCCCACAGAAACUGAAAGUGAGCCAAGAGUUAACUUGGGUUUGCUACAAAUGGUAUAGUAAACAUCUCACAGACACAGCAAGAAGCCCAGAGGAUAAAGGGACGGGAAAUCAGGUCCAGAGGGACUGAGGAAGUUGGAAGUCCAAAACAGGUAGAAGAGCUGAGGGUACCAAUGUGAGUAGUGUGCACAAUGAGCACAUCUUCCCAGCGUCCCUGGGGCAGCAUGAGCAGGCCACAAAGCCAAUCAAGUGCAAUUUGUCUUGAGGACAAGGUUAAAGGAAGUCAACAAAGGCCAGCCAGCUGGGAGGAUUUCAGUGUGGGAUGAGUGCUUAUUAAGCCACAAGCAGUGACACUGAUAUCAUUAUUUUUUAAUCAUUUGGUUUUAAAUAUGAAAGAAUUUCACAUAUUAUUAAAUAGCAUAUUAAUAUGAUAUACUGUACUACAUUUACCUGGUAAAUAAUGAGUAUUUGCUGAGUGUUCAUUUGU